CUUAUAGUCUGAGCCCCUCUCGGUUGAGGCCUGUCUGCAGAAUCCGCACCAACCGGCACCAUGCCCAUGACACUGGGAUACUGGGACAUCCGCGGGCUCCUGACUAUGACAGAAGCCAGUGGCUGAAUGAAAAAUUCAAGCUGGGCCUGGACUUUCCCAAUCUGCCCUACUUGAUUGAUGGGACUCACAAGAUCACCCAGAGCAACGCCAUCCUGUGCUACAUUGCCCGCAAGCACAACCUGUGUGGGGAGACAGAAGAGGAGAAGAUUCGUGUGGACAUUUUGGAGAACCAGACCAUGGACAACCAUAUGCAGCUGGGCAUGAUCUGCUACAACCCAGAAUUUUGUUGCAGGAAUUCAGGGACCCUGAAUGGAGGGACCGGCUGGAGCUGCAGCAGAGGAACAUAAAUUGCAAAUAUUUCAUUUUAACAUGGACAUUUAUCAAUUCCCAAAUUAAUACAUUUAUAAUUUCUUAUGCCUGUCUUUAAUCUCUUAAUCCUGUUAUCUUCAUAAGCUGAGGAUAUACGUCACCUCAGGACCACUGUGAUAAUUGUGUUAACUGUACAAAUUGAUUGUAAAACGUGUGUUUGAACAAUAUGAAAUCAGUGCACCUUGAAAAAGAACAGAAUAACAGCGAUUUUUAGGGAACAAGGGAAGACAGCCAUAAGGUCUGACUGCCCGCAGGGUUGGGCAAAAUACAGCCAUAUUUUUCUUCUUGCAGAGAGCCUAUAAAUCGACACGCAAGUAGGGAAGAUAUU
rnacentral:sRNA from 1 species